UCUGCCUUGUAGUGGGGGAUAACUUGCCGAAAGGUAAGCUAAUACCGCAUACGCCCUAAGGGGGAAAGCAGGGGACUCUUCGGAGCCUUGCGCUAUUAGAUGAGCCUAGGUCGGAUUAGUUAGUUGGUGGGGUAAUGGCUCACCAAGACCGCGAUCCGUAACUGGUCUGAGAGGAUGAUCAGUCACACUGGAACUGAGACACGGUCCAGACUCCUACGGGAGGCAGCAGUGGGGAAUAUUGGACAAUGGGGGGAACCCUGAUCCAGCCAUGCCGCGUGUGUGAAGAAGGUCUUCGGGUUGUAAAGCACUUUAAUUUGGGAGGAAGGGCUUGCGGUUAAUAACCGCUAAGUUUUGACGUUACCAAAAGAAUAAGCACCGGCUAACUUCGUGCCAGCAGCCGCGGUAAUACGAAGGGUGCGAGCGUUAAUCGGAAUUACUGGGCGUAAAGCGCGCGUAGGUGGUUCAUUAAGUUAGGAGUGAAAGCCCCGGGCUCAACCUGGGAAUUGCUUCUAAAACUGGUGAGCUAGAGUACGGUAGAGGGUGGUGGAAUUUCCUGUGUAGCGGUGAAAUGCGUAAAUAUAGGAAGGAACAUCAGUGGCGAAGGCGACCACCUGGACUGAUACUGACACUGAGGUGCGAAAGCGUGGGGAGCAAACAGGAUUAAAUACCCUGGUAGUCCACGCCGUAAACGAUGUCAACUA
rnacentral:rRNA from 1 species